UCUGAUAAAGCCGACACCUGAGCCGACAUGUGUGUUCGAGCUCAGCAAGAUGCACUGCAGUUUUAUGCGAAUCUGUGUGAAAGUGCAAGUGUUUGUUUAUUCUGACAGCCAGAUUUUUAUUUGUUUUAGGGCCGGUAUUUCCAUCUCGGGAUAAAGUCAAGUAUAAGAUAUCUUCCAGGUAAACCGACAGUUAGCGUCGCUUCGGGUAUUUCGAACCUCGUUUAAAUAUUAUCGGCAGGAUAAGUUCUAGAUAAAGUUAUUGGGUAGAUUUUCUGCAGUUAUCAACAUAACCCCAGGAUAUUGCGUCAAAUUUCCAGUAAACUGGUGACGAUUUAAAAAUUUGCGAAAUUACCAACCGUGCCUAUACUAAAUAGGAAGAAAGAAAUUGAUGUAUGGGAGUAGAAAUUCCAAAUGGAUCAAGAUUUUCCUCGAGAUUUUCUUGACACAAACACACGAUUUUCAGAUGUGCUGAAAUUAGCAGUUCUUUUCUUUCUACGCGGUGCAUUUACAUCACGAUUUUGGUUCAUGUUCAGAGUACUCAUAAGUAAAGCUUAUUCUGUAAUUUACGUUUGACAAGUAUAUUACAAGUCACUGAAUUUCUUUCCAAAACAAAAGCAUUCGUUCAAAUUGUCAGGUAGUAAGCUAUCUUGCUCUAAUAUAUGGCCCUGCCGUUCGCUAUCUUUUUCUAUUACAG